GAAUACACUACCAUAAAUUAUUUCAUAAUGUUUUAAUAAUUUUAUAAAGGCCUAUGUUUUGAAGAAAUAUAAUGUAUUGGGUUAAGAAUAAGUAUAGUAAUGGCUUACAAACCACCCUACGAAGUACCCAUUCCCCCAGUUUCAGGCUCUGCCCACGCGAUGCAGGAUUCCGCUGGGUAUUGAGAUAUUUGGUCUUCAGGCUCUGCGCAUGCGUAUUGAGAUAUUUAGUGCUCUGCCUGGGCGUUGAGUUUGUCCGCCAGGUAUUGAGAUAGUUUUCUUCAGGCUCUGCCCGCGCGAUGAUAGAUCUUGCCGGGUAUCGAGAUGUAUUUCCCAGCUCUGCCUGUGUGUGGGAUGCCCACCAGGUAUCGAGAUUUUUCCCCAGGGUACUAGUUGUGGACCUUCCGGAGAUCGUGCCGAGUGGUGAGCCUCCGCUCAGGGUUGUGCCACGCGUUGACAUCUUUUAUGUUUCGCAGUUUUUCUACAUGACACGUCUCGGGUAUCUGAGUCUUGUGGGAGCGCCCGGAUCCUACGGGAUGAGGAAAUUUGGGAC